GCUGUUUGGAAUUUUUAUAAUUAAAAAACAAAUACUGCCACAUUGAUGCACAAGAAGGUUUAAUUGUUCAAAUAUUGUUUCAUAUUAAAAUAUAUUAAAAAAAAAUGUUUUCAAUAUAAAAAAAGUGUUUUCAAGUGUAAUAUUUCUGUAAAGGGACAGAAAAGUUGACUUUUCUGUAGAAUUACCCAUUCAUUGUAAAAUGAAGUAAAUAUUAAAAAUGAACAACUUUCAUGUUAGCCUAUGGGAAAAAAUAAUGGAGUAACUUCAACCUACUAACUAAUUAAAGAUGUCAUCAGAUCAUGUGUGCUUUCAGCAGUUAUCAUUUUAAACAUCAAAAUCAUGAUGCCCCCCAAUAGUAGGCUACUGAAUAUAAGAUGUGGGAUAAUAUAAGAAUGGGACAUUUUAUCCAAGUCAUCUCAAUGGUAAAAAGUGUCCCAAUCACCCUGAACUGGAGCUCUAAAAUAAUGUUAUUGACUUCAACUGAUGAAUGCAGCCAAAGAAAAGAUGAAGAAUGGAAAAGCACUUUGCUGGCAAAGAAAUUGGAAAAUAACACAGGUUACGCGCAUGUAUCCAUGGCAACGCUCGGCUGCUUCGACAGUUAACGGUCCUGCCGGUGAUUUUCUCAGAUGAGGCCUUGAGUUUUCUCUUUCGUCGGUCAAAAAGGUUAGAAGCCAUCGAAAAAACUGCCAUCGGACUACCACAGCUGACAACGAGAGACGCGCGUGCACAACUGCAUAACACACACACACACACACACACACACACACACACACACACACACACACACGGAAAGAGCACAACAAUUAUGAAACUGGUCAUUUAUUAUAAAUAAAUAAAUGUAUUUUUCUCCUUACAACGUGUUUGUGUUCUUUUGUUAACCUAGAAGUAAAAUAAAAAACAAUAAGAGGACUUAAUCGAAAGUCCCCUAAACGUCCCGAAAUCUAUUAAGAAACAUUUGUUACUGACAAUUUGGAUUCGUGAGACCAAGAUUAGCGUACAUUUGAAGAUAGGCCGUAACGGUCAGCCGCGACGGACAACAACUUCAGCAAACGUUUGUAAAUGUAAUCUUGUCAUAUAAUUUAAACUUUACAAGAUAAACAGUGGUUAUGGUAGCUAAUGUCUGCUAAACUAAAAUUUAAAAUACCUUUUUGACCGACGAAAGAGAAAUCAAGGCCUCAUCUGAGAAAAUCACCGGCAGGACCGUUAACUGUCGACGCCGAGCGUUGCCAUGGAUACAUGCGCGUAACCUAAAGAAUGACGUCACUCGAUCGUCACUUGCUUGUAUCUCACAGUGUGGCUAUAUUACACUUUUUGCCACAUGCUAUACCUUUCUUAUGUGUAAAAAUUAAAGUAAUUUUUUUUAAAUAACUUUUCUUUAAUAAAACCAUGUUUGACAGGUAUUUAUGGGUAUAGGAAUUGUCUUACCUGUGUUAUUUUCCAAUUUCUUUGCCAGCAAAGUGCUUUUCCAUUCUUCAUCUUUUCUUUGGCUGCAUUCAUCAGUUGAAGUCAAUAACAUUAUUUUAGAGCUCCAGUUCAGGGUGAUUGGGACACUUUUUACCAUUGAGAUGACUUGGAUAAAAUGUCCCAUUCUUAUAUUAUCCCACAUCUUAUAUUCAGUAGCCUACUAUUGGGGGGCAUCAUGAUUUUGAUGUUUAAAAUGAUAACUGCUGAAAGCACACAUGAUCUGAUGACAUCUUUAAUUAGUUAGUAGGUUGAAGUUACUCCAUUAUUUUUUCCCAUAGGCUAACAUGAAAGUUGUUCAUUUUUAAUAUUUACUUCAUUUUACAAUGAAUGGGUCAUUCUACAGAAAAGUCCACUUUUCUGUCCCUUUACAGAAAUAUUACAUUUGAAAACACUUUUUUUUAUAUUGAAAACAUUUUUUUUUAUAUAUUUUAAUAUGAAACAAUAUUUGAACAAUUAAACCUUCUUGCGCAUCAAUGUGGCAGUAUUUGUUUUUUAAUUAUAAAAAUUCCAAACAGCACAGAAGUGCUCGUCCCCACAGUCAUGUGGGAAAGUGCUUUAUUUUGAGCUCAGAACCAGGGUUUAAAUACA